UGCUUAACACAUGCAAGUCGAACGAGAAAGAGUUCCUUCGGGAGCUUGAGUAAAGUGGCGCACGGGUGAGUAACGCGUAGAUAAUCUACCCUUAUAUAUGGAAUAACUGAGCGAAAGCUCAGCUAAUACCGUAUACGCUUUUCUGUUCGCGAGGACAGGAGAGGAAAGAUGGCCUCUGACAUAAGCUAUCGUAUAAGGAUGAGUCUGCGUACCAUUAGCUAGUAGGUGGGGUAAUGGCCUACCUAGGCGACGAUGGUUAGCGGGUCUGAGAGGAUGAUCCGCCACACUGGAACUGGAACACGGACCAGACUCCUACGGGAGGCAGCAGUGAGGAAUUUUGCGCAAUGGGGGAAACCCUGACGCAGCGACGCCGCGUGGGUGAUGAAGGCUUUCGAGUCGUAAAGCCCUGUCAAGUGGGAAGAACCGUCAAUGUGCUAAUACCACAUUGAUCUGACGGUACCACUAAAG
rnacentral:rRNA from 1 species